rnacentral:tRNA from 1 species
GGCCGGGCGAGCGACGAGGACAGCCGCUACGGCACCUACUGGGUGCAGAACUUCGGCGCGCUGUUCUAGCCUGCUCCGCCCACC